CGCAAUGGGCGAAAGCCUGACGGAGCGACGCCGCGUGAUUGAUGAAGUCCUUCGGGACGUAAAGAUCUUUUAUGCGUGAGAAAGUUAUUGAUAGUAGCGCAUGAAUAAGGGGCUCCUAACUCUGUGCCAGCAGGAGCGGUAAUACAGAGGCCCCGAGCAUUAUCCGGAAUCACUGGGCGUAAAGGGUGUGUAGGCGGUUAUGUUAGUCUUUUGCGAAAGAUCUUCGGCUUAACCGAGGAGACGCAGGGGAAACGGCAUAACUUAGAGGAUGCGAGAGGUAAAGGGAACUCAUGGUGUAGGGGUGAAAUCCGUUGAUAUCAUGUUUAAUACGACUCAC
rnacentral:rRNA from 1 species